rnacentral:rRNA from 1 species
GACGAACGCUGGCGGCGUGCUUAACACAUGCAAGUCGAACGGAAAGGCCCUGCUUUUGUGGGGUGCUCGAGCGGCGAACGGGUGAGUAACACGUGAGUAACCUGCCCUUGACUUUGGGAUAACUUCAGGAGACUGGGGCUAAUACCGGAUAGGAGCUCCUGCUGCAUGGUGGGGGUUGGAAAGUUUCGGCGGUUGGGGAUGGACUCGCGGCUUAUCAGCUUGUUGGUGGGGUAGUGGCUUACCAAGGCUUUGACGGGUAGCCGGCCUGAGAGGGUGACCGGCCACAUUGGGACUGAGAUACGGCCCAGACUCCUACGGGAGGCAGCAGUGGGGAAUAUUGCACAAUGGGCGGAAGCCUGAUGCAGCAACGCCGCGUGCGGGAUGACGGCCUUCGGGUUGUAAACCGCUUUCGCCUGUGACGAAGCGUGAGUGACGGUAAUGGGUAAAGAAGCACCGGCUAACUACGUG